rnacentral:rRNA from 1 species
GGCGAACGGGUGCGUAACACGUGGGCAAUCUGCCGAGAAGUGGGGGAUAGCUCGCCGAAAGGCGAAUUAAUACCGCAUAUGAUCAGUGAAGACAUCUUCACGACAUCAAAGCCGGGGCAACCUGGCGCUACUCGAUGAGCCCGCGGCCUAUCAGCUAGUUGGUGAGGUAACGGCUCACCAAGGCUAUGACGGGUAGCUGGUCUGAGAGGACGACCAGUCACACUGGAACUGAGACACGGUCCAGACACCUACGGGUGGCAGCAGUCGAGAAUUUUUCUCAAUGGGGGCAACCCUGAAGGAGCGACGCCGCGUGGAGGAUGAAGGCUUUCGGGUUGUAAACUCCUGUCAUUUGGGAACAAGGUGCAUCGAUUAACUGUCGAUGCAUUGAUAGUACCAGAAGAGGAAGGGACGGCUAACUCUGUGCCAGCAGCCGCGGUAAUACAGAGGUCUCAAGCGUUGUUCGGAUUCAUUGGGCGUAAAGGGUGCGUAGGUGGCGCCGUAAGUCAGGUGUGAAAUUUCGGAGCUCAACUCCGAAACUGCAUUUGAUACUGCGGUGCUUGAGGACUGGAGAGGAGACUGGAAUUCACGGUGUAGCAGUGAAAUGCGUAGAUAUCGUGAGGAAGACCAGUGGCGAAGCGGGUCUCUGGACAGUUCCUGACACUGAGGCACGAAGCCAGGGGAGCAAACGGGAUUAGAUACCCCGGUAGUC